rnacentral:rRNA from 1 species
CUACGGGCGGCUGCAGUAAGGAAUAUUCCGCAAUGGGCGAAAGCCUGACGGAGCAACGCCGCGUGCGGGACGAAGCUCGAAAGAGUGUAAACCGCUUUUCUGAGGGAGCAAGUUCUGAGUUCACCUCAGGAAUAAGUACCGGCUAACUACGUGCCAGCAGCAGCGGUAAUACGUAGGGUGCAAGCGUUACCCGGAAUUACUGGGCGUAAAGCGUCCGUAGGCGGUUUUUUAAGUCUGGUAUGAAAGCCCGGAGCCCAACUCCGGAUCCGUAUUGGAAACUGGAAAACUUGAGAUAUGCAGAGGUCAGUGGAAUACGAUGUGUAGGGGUAAAAUCCGUUGAUAUAUCGUAGAACACCAAAAGCGAAGGCAGCUGGCUGGGCAUAUUCUGACGCUCAGGGACGAAAGCGUGGGUAGCGAACGGGAUUAGAUACCCCAGUAGUC